UACGUAGGGGGCAAGCGUUAUCCAGAUUUACUGGGUGUAAAGGGAGCGUAGGUGGCAUGGUAAGCCAGAAGUGAAAACCCGGGGCUCAACCCCGCGGAUUGCUUUUGGAACUAUCAGGCUGGAGUGCUGGAGGGGUAAGCGGAAUUCCUAGUGUAGCGGUGAAAUGCGUAGAUAUUAGGAGGAACACCGGUGGCGAAGGCGGCUUACUGGACAGAAACUGACACUGAGGCUCGAAAGCGUGGGGAGCAAACAGG
rnacentral:rRNA from 1 species